UGGGGAAUAUUGGACAAUGGAGGCAACUCUGAUCCAGCAAUUCUGUGUGUGUGAAGAAGGUUUUAGGACUGUAAAACACUUUUAGUAGGGAAGAAAAAAAUGACGGUACCUACAGAAGAAGCGACGGCUAAAUACGUGCCAGCAGCCGCGGUAAUACGUAUGUCGCGAGCGUUAUCCGGAAUUAUUGGGCUUAAAGGGCAUCUAGGCGGUUAAACAAGUUGAAGGUGAAAACCUGUGGCUCAACCAUAGGCUUGCCUACAAAACUGUAUAACUAGAGUACUGGAAAGGUGGGUGGAACUACACGAGUAGAGAUGAAAUUCGUAGAUAUGUGUAGGAAUGCCGAUGAUGAAGAUAACUCACUGGACAGCAACUGACGCUGAAGUGCGAAAGCUAGGGGAGCAAACAGG
rnacentral:rRNA from 1 species